rnacentral:rRNA from 1 species
CCUACGGGGCGCAGCAGUCGAGAAUCAUUCACAAUGGGGGAAACCCUGAUGGUGCGACGCCGCGUGGGGGAAUGAAGGUCUUCGGAUUGUAAACCCCUGUCAUGUGGGAGCAAAUUAAAAAGAUAGUACCACAAGAGGAAGAGACGGCUAACUCUGUGCCAGCAGCCGCGGUAAUACAGAGGUCUCAAGCGUUGUUCGGAAUCACGGGGCGUAAAGCGUGCGUAGGCUGUUUCGUAAGUCGUGUGUGAAAGGCGCGGGCUCAACCCGCGGACGGCACAUGAUACUGCGAGACUAGAGUAAGGGAGGGGGAACCGGAAUUCUCGGUGUAGCAGUGAAAUGCGUAGAUAUCGAGAGGAACACUCGUGGCGAAGGCGGGUUCCUGGACAUUAACUGACGCUGAGGCACGAAGGCCAGGGGAGCGAAAGGGAUUAGAUACCCUUGUAGUC